UACUCACCAUAAAGCAUUUAGAGUUGGUCC
rnacentral:piRNA from 1 species